rnacentral:lncRNA from 1 species
AUUCUAUGUGGCCACAUUUGAAAGAGGAACAAGGAUAUCCAGCAAACCCCUCAAGUCUGAGAUAAGGUACUGAAAAUUGAAAUCAGAUCACCAUGCUCAAAAGUAAGUACUGUUUCCUGUUGAGUCAUCUGGUCCACCCUUUUCCUCCCCAUCUUGGGUCUUGAUUUUCUACAGUUAGGCAGCACCUCAUCUACUGAGAAGUUUUCUUGGAUCUCUCUGAUUCUGACAUUUCUUCUUCAGGCUCUUUGAUUGUACUAUUCUUGGAGAAAGUAUUGC